UGCUUAAUACAUGCAAGUCGAACGAGAAAUCCCGAGCAAUCGGGAGAGUACAGUGGCGUCCGGGUGAGUAACACGUAGGUAAUCUACCUUCGGGUGGGGAAUAACCCAGGGAAACUUGGGCUAACACCGCAUAAUGCAGCGGCACCACAUGGUGACAGUUGUUAAAGCGGGGGAUCUUAGGACCUCGCGCCUGAAGAGGAGCCUGCGGCGGAUUAGCUAGUUGGUAAGGUAACGGCUUACCAAGGCAACGAUCCGUAGCCGGCCUGAGAGGGCGGUCGGCCACACUGACACUGACAUACGGGUCAGACUCCUACGGGAGGCAGCAGUCGGGAAUUUUGGGCAAUGGGCGAAAGCCUGACCCAGCAACGCCGCGUGAAGGAUGAAAUCCCUCGGGAUGUAAACUUCGCAAGAAUGGGAAGAAUUAGCGAGCGCUAAUACCGCUCGUGAUGACGGUACCAUUUGUAAGCUCCGGCUAACUCCGUGCCAGCAGCCGCGGUAAUACGGGGGGAGCAAGCGUUGUUCGGAUUUACUGGGCGUAAAGGGCGCGUAGGCGGUCAGCACAAGUCAGUUGUGAAAUCUCCGGGCUUAACUCGGAAAGGUCAACUGAUACUGUGCGACUAGAGUGCGGAAGGGGCAACUGGAAUUCUCGGUGUAGCGGUGAAAUGCGUAGAUAUCGAGAGGAACACCUGCGGCGAAGGCGGGUUGCUGGGCCGACACUGACGCUGAGGCGCGAAAGCCAGGGGAGCGAACGGGAUUAGAUACCCCGGUAGUCCUGGCCUUAAACGAUGGAUGCUUGGUGUCUGGGGUUUUAUAGUCCCCGGGUGCCGUAGCUAACGCGUUAAGCAUCCCGCCUGGGGAGUACGGUCGCAAGACUGAAACUCAAAGGAAUUGACGGGGGCCCGCACAAGCGGUGGAGCAUGUGGUUCAAUUCGACGCAACGCGAAGAACCUUACCCAGGCUUGAACAGCGAGUGACCACUUCCGAAAGGGAGCUUCCGCAAGGACACUCGUAGAGGUGCUGCAUGGCUGUCGUCAGCUCGUGUCGUGAGAUGUUGGGUUAAGUCCCGCAACGAGCGCAACCCUUGUCUGCUGUUGCCAUCAGGUUAUGCUGGGCACUCUGCAGAGACUGCCGGUGAUAAACCGGAGGAAGGUGGGGAUGACGUCAAGUCAGCAUGGCCUUUAUGUCUGGGGCUACACACGUGCUACAAUGGCCGAUACAAACCGUCGCGAGCCCGCAAGGGGGAGCUAAUCGGAGAAAGUCGGUCUCAGUUCGGAUCGUAGGCUGCAACUCGCCUGCGUGAAGUUGGAAUCGCUAGUAAUCGCGGAUCAGCACGCCGCGGUGAAUACGUUCCCGGGCCUUGCACACACCGCCCGUCAC
rnacentral:rRNA from 1 species